AUACGGAGGAUCCAGGCGUUAUCCGGAAUCAUUGGGUUUAAAGGGUCCGUAGGCGGGUUUGUAAGUCAGUGGUGAAAGUUUUCGGCUCAACCGGAAAAUUGCCAUUGAUACUGCAAGUCUUGAAUCAUUAUGAAGUGGUUAGAAUGUGUAGUGUAGCGGUGAAAUGCAUAGAUAUUACACAGAAUACCGAUUGCGAAGGCAGAUCACUAAUAAUGUAUUGACGCUAAGGGACGAAAGCGUGGGUAGCGAACAGGAUUAGAAACCCGGGUAGUCC
rnacentral:rRNA from 1 species